rnacentral:rRNA from 1 species
GCAUCGAUGAAGAACGCAGCGAAAUGCGAUAAGUAAUGUGAAUUGCAGAAUUCAGUGAAUCAUCGAAUCUUUGAACGCACAUUGCGCCCGUCAGUAUUCUGGCGGGCAUGCCUGUUCGAGCGUCAUUACGCCCCUCAAGUCCCCUGUGGACUUGGUGUUGGGGAUCGGCGAGGCUGGUUUUCCAGCACAGCCGUCCCUUAAAUUGAUUGGCGGUCUCGCCGUGGCCCUCCUCUGCGCAGUAGUAAAACACUCGCAACAGGAGCCCGGCGCGGUCCACUGCCGUAAAACCCCCCAACUUUUUAUAGUUGACCUCGAAUCAGGUAGGACUACCCGCUGAACUUAAGCAUAUCAAUAAGCGGAGGAA